GGUGAUCUAGCCAUGGGCAGGUUGAAGGUUGGGUAACACUAACUGGAGGACCGAACCGACUAAUGUUGAAAAAUUAGCGGAUGACUUGUGGCUGGGGGUGAAAGGCCAAUCAAACCGGGAGAUAGCUGGUUCUCCCCGAAAUCUAUUUAGGUAGAGCCUUAUGUGAAUACCUUCGGGGGUAGAGCACUGUUUCGGCUAGGGGUCCAUCCCGGAUUACCAACCCGAUGCAAACUGCGAAUACCGAAGAGUAAUGCAUAGGAGACACACGGUGGGUGCUAACGUCCAUCGUGGAGAGGGAAACAACCCAGACCGCCAGCUAAGGUCCCAAAGUCUAUAUUAAGUGGGAAACGAAGUGGGAAGGCUUAGACAGCUAGGAUGUUGGCUUAGAAGCAGCCAUCAUUUAAAGAAAGCGUAAUAGCUCACUAGUCGAGUCGGCCUGCGCGGAAGAUGUAACGGGGCUAAAAUAUAGCACCGAAGCUGCGGCAUCAGGCGUAUCACUAAUACGCCUUACGAUUAACAACAUCGAAUGAAGUGAAACGGAAUGAGAUGUUGGUCAAGCAACCCGAACGUUGAGUCGGAAAGUAAUCGAAGAGAGGAUUAUUAGUGAUACGUCUGUUGGGUAGGGGAGCGUUGUGUAAGCGGAUGAAGGUGAAUCGAGAGGUUUGCUGGACGUAUCACAAGUGCGAAUGCUGACAUAAGUAACGAUAAAACGAGUGAAAAACUCGUUCGCCGGAAGACCAAGGGUUCCUGUCCAACGUUAAUCGGGGCAGGGUGAGUCGGCCCCUAAGGCGAGGCUGAAAAGCGUAGUCGAUGGGAAACGGGUUAAUAUUCCCGUACUUGGUAAAGCUGCGAUGUGGGGACGGAGAAGGUUAGGUUAGCAGACUGUUGGAUGUCUGUUUAAGUUGGUAGGUGGGGAGUUUAGGCAAAUCCGGACUUCCAUAACACUGAGAGAUGAUGACGAGUUUCUACGGAAAUGAAGUAACUGAUACCACGCUUCCAGGAAAAGCCACUAAGCGAAAGGCUUUACUAAACCGUACUGAAAACCGACACAGGUGGUCAGGUAGAGAAUACUCAGGCGCUUGAGAGAACUCGGGUGAAGGAACUAGGCAAAAUAGCACCGUAACUUCGGGAGAAGGUGCGCUGGCGUAGGUUGUAGGAGUAUACCUCCGAAGGCUGAACCAGUCGAAGAUACCAGCUGGCUGCAACUGUUUAUUAAAAACACAGCACUCUGCAAACACGAAAGUGGACGUAUAGGGUGUGAUGCCUGCCCGGUGCUGGAAGGUUAAUUGAUGGUGU
rnacentral:rRNA from 1 species